ensembl:snRNA U6 U6 spliceosomal RNA
GUGUUCGCUACGGCAGCACAUAUACUAAAAUUGGACCAAUACAGAGAAGAUUAGUUUCUGCGAUAGGAUGACAUGCAAAUCCGUAAAGCAAUCCAUAUAUAC